AUGAAUCAGUUGAAUCUCUGGGAAGUGUGUUCAGUGUCUGUGGUGUUUGUUCUGGUCUGGUGUCUCCAGCUGAUGGUUCUGUUCGGUCUGUUAGGAGCUUUUCACAUCUACAUUAGACACACGUCAGGAAAGAAAGAGGAAGAUGAGAAAGUGAGAAUGAGAAGAUUUAGAGAGAGACAUGAACACACAGCAGAAGAUUCAUGAGAGCAGCAGCAGAUCUUCACAUCUGUGAGAAAUGACUUCAGAAUCAGUCCAGCUUUCACCUGUCA